AUUGAACGCUGGCGGCAUGCCUUACACAUGCAAGUCGAACGGCAGCACGGGAGCAAUCCUGGUGGCGAGUGGCGAACGGGUGAGUAAUAUAUCGGAACGUGCCCGGUCGUGGGGAUAACGUAGCGAAAGCUACGCUAAUACCGCAUACGAUCUACGGAUGAAAGCGGGGGAUCGCAAGACCUCGCGCGAUUGGAGCGGCCGAUAUCAGAUUAGGUAGUUGGUGAGGUAAAGGCUCACCAAGCCGACGAUCUGUAGCUGGUCUGAGAGGACGACCAGCCAUACUGGGACUGAGACACGGCCCAGACUCCUACGGGAGGCAGCAGUGGGGGAAUUUUGGACAAUGGGCGCAAGCCUGAUCCAGCAAUGCCGCGUGCAGGAUGAAGGCCUCGG
rnacentral:rRNA from 1 species